rnacentral:rRNA from 1 species
UGGGGGAAUAUUGCACAAUGGGCGAAAGCCUGAUGCAGCGACGCCGCGUGAGGGAUGACGGCCUUCGGGUUGUAAACCUCUUUCAGCAGGGAAGAAGCGAAAGUGACGGUACCUGCAGAAGAAGCGCCGGCUAACUACGUGCCAGCAGCCGCGGUAAUACGUAAGGCGCAAGCGUUGUCCGGAAUAUUGGGCGUAAAGAGCUCGUAGGCGGUUAGUCGCGUCUGCUGUGAAAAUCUCGAGGCUCAACCUCGGGCUUGCAGUGGUACGGGCUGACUAGAGUGCGGUAGGGGUGACUGGAAUUCCUGGUGUAGCGGUGGAAUGCGCAGAUAUCAGGAGGAACACCGAUGGCGAAGGCAGGUCACUGGCCGCAACUGACGCUGAGGAGCGAAAGCAUGGGGAGCGAACAGGAUUAG